AAAACCUACCCUCUCUCUUCAAUAUGCUGCCCCUCUCUCCAGCAUUUUUAGUUUUUUAUUCUUCCAUUUUUUCUUUUAAUUUAUUUUGUUUAAUGUAGGAUUAUGGUUGGUGUUUGAAUUGGGUCAUGGAUCCUUUUUCCCUUCUUCACACAUCACCAGGGAGCCACCCCACCCCCUAUGAGUUUAAUUUUUUUCCUCGUUUUUUUAAUAUAUUUUUC
rnacentral:lncRNA from 1 species